GGAGUCUGGGCCGUGUCUCAGUCCCAAUGUGGCCGUUCAUCCUCUCAGACCGGCUACUGAUCGUCGCCUUGGUGAGCCGUUACCUCACCAACCAGCUAAUCAGACGCAGACCCAUCUUGAAGUGACAGCUUCGCUUGUCUCAGCCGCCUUUAGUGAAUGCCUCAUGCGAAGCACUCACGUCAUUCGGUAUUAGCAGAGCUUUCGCCCUGUUGUCCCCAUCUCCAAGGUAGGUUGUCUACGCGUUACUCACCCGUUUGCUACUAGGAUAAUCAAGGCAAGCCUCGAUUAUCCCCGUUCGACUUGCAUGUGUUAAGCACGCCGCCAGCGUUCGUCCUCGAGCCAUGAUCAAACUCU
rnacentral:rRNA from 1 species